rnacentral:rRNA from 1 species
UACGGAAGGGUGCAAACGUUGCUCGGAAUUAUUGGGCGUAAAGCGCACGUAGGCGGCUUAGCAAGUCCCAUGUGAAAGCCCACGGCGUUAACCGUGGAAGUGCAUGGGAAACUGCUGAGCUUGAGUACUUAAGGAGGAUCGCGGAAUUCCCGGUGUAGAGGUGAAAUUUGUAGAUAUCGGGAGGAACACCAGUGGCGAAGGCGGCGAUCUGGGAGAUACUGACGCUGAGGUGCGAAAGCGUGGGGAGCAAACAGG